rnacentral:rRNA from 1 species
AGCGAACGCUGGCGGCAGGCCCAAUACAUGCAAGUCGAACGGCGCUUCGGAGCAGUGGCUGACGGGUUAGUAAUGCGUGGGAAUGUGCCCUUAGGUACGGUACAACACAGGGAAACUUGUGCUUAUACCGUAUGUUCCCUUCGGGGGAAAGAUUUAUCGCCUUUGGAGCAGCCCGCGUUGGAUUAGGUAGUUGGUGAGGUAAAGGCUCACCAAGCCGACGAUCCAUAGCUGGUCUGAGAGGAUGACCAGCCACACUGGGACUGAGACACGGCCCAGACUCCUACGGGAGGCAGCAGUAGAGAAUCUUGCGCAAUGGGCGAAAGCCUGACGCAGCCAUGCCGCGUGUAUGAUGAAGGUCUUAGGAUUGUAAAAUACUUUCACCGGGGAAGAUAAUGACGGUACCCGGAGAAGAAGCCCCGGCUAUCUUCGUGCCAGCCGCCGCCGUAA